UUCCAGAUGCCCUAUACUAUAAUAUUGAACAUCCUAAGUGCCUGCAUUUUAGUGUUAGGUCUGCUUUUACUAUUACCUGAAUUUUUAAUAUAUGGUUUAUCUUCAAAACGUAUUUGGCCUCACAGAGCUGGUAAAGUCCUUUCAGACGGUUUGCUCCUGUUCAGCAUCUUGGACUUGUCUGUGACCUGUACCGUGGUCAACUGGAUGUACAAAGCAAAGUAUAGCAGAUAAUAAAGAUGGUAUGCCAUAUCUGGAAUUUUAGCAAUAGAAGCAGAGAAGAAGCGUUCCCCAAAGCUGUUGACAUGUACCAUAAGGAUGAACACCUUCGGUAUUUUCUUCGCACUGCUUGGUCCAAUUCUAAAUGGACUUGAAAUAACAUUGUUUUUAAUAAAAGGUGAAAAGAUGAUAUGGCCAAAUCAAAUUUCACUAAUUCUUUCUGUGUAUUCGUGGAUGUUCUCCAUCUUGGAGUUUUUCUUGGCAAAUACAGUGAUCAGAUUUGGGCACCACGCAUUUCAUCAUGGCAAACAUCGCCCAUAAUGUUCUCAUACUGUGGGUGGUGCCCACCUUUG
rnacentral:lncRNA from 9 species